rnacentral:sRNA from 2 species
AUCCAUGUUUCGUUCUUCUCGCCUACUCGGUCUACUACUAAACGCAUUCAGUUUGCGCGGUAGACUUGUGGGCGGAAUCAAACACUGAUUCAAACCUGCUGAAAGUUAAAAACCCGCGCCUGUCGCGGGUUUUUUU